AAUUGGAAUUUCAGCUCCAAUUUGAGAAGAUUUUGGAGUGACAAUUUUUACCUGACCAUAAUCAGGAGGGGGGCUUAUAGUCUAUUAU